AAGUCUUAUAGUUGAGGAUAUAAUUCAGGAUUUAUAAUUCUGAAUUCUGAAUUCUGAAUUUAGAGGAUUUA
rnacentral:tRNA from 1 species